rnacentral:sRNA from 1 species
AAAUGAAACAAAUAAGGAAACUAAAUAUAUAGCGAAUCUUCACGUCAUGAUCCUGCGACCGAAUGUGUCAUUGGCAUCUGACGGGCUGAAAUGAGCUUCCUAGUGAUCGAGUAUGUCAUUGAUCAAACUGGGCUUCAGGGGCUCCGUCUUGCGAUCGAGUGAAAUGCAGUGAAGUCGAGAUUGAAUGGUCCAGCGACCUUGUGAUCGAGUGCGAUCGAGUGGAUGUCAUGAGGGUGUGAUCGAGUGGUUUCGAUGGGGUGAUUCCUCCGGCUUCGCGAUUGAGUGAAACUGAGCUGUUUGCUUCUCCGGGGUUGCGAUAGAGUGAUUUGCCCUGGCAGGGCUCCGAGGCUGCGAUAGAGUACUUUUGCUGAAGGCGUCAUUGGGCAUUCUGACUUCAUGUUCUGUUUUUCCUCUGUUUGAACUCCAAAAGCAUCCAAAGUACCUGAAAACAACCAAAUAUGCCAUGCACAUGCAAUCCUAAUGCAAAAUCGUCCAAAGUAUGUAAAACACACUAAAACGACUCCUAAUGAGAUGAAAUGUGGAUGAAACAAUGACAAAGUGGUGAAGAAUGAAUGCCUAAAUCAUGCAAAUUAUAGACAUAUCACAUAUUCGACUCCAAAACACUAAUCAAGCUUCUUCUUGCUUUUCAAAGCUUUGUUAGUUUAGCCGAAGUCCAUAUGAGUAUUUAUCUUUGUAUCUUCUAACAAGGAAACACCACUUAGGCUUUUAGGAUAAGGUUGCGGUUUAAGUUCUUAUACUCCAUCAUACACAUGACAUCAAGUCAUAUUCGACUCCAAAACACUAACCAAGCUUCUUCUUGCUUCUCAAAGCUUUGUUGGUUUAGCCGAAGUCCAUAUGAGUCUUUGUCUUUGUAUCUUCUAACAAGGAAACACUACUUAGGCUUUUAGGAUAUGGUUGCUGUUUAAGUUCUUAUACUCAAUCAUACACAUGACUUCAAGUCAUAUUCGACUCCAAAACACUAACCAAGCUUCUUCUUGCUUCUCAAAGCUUUGAUGGUUUGGCCAAAGUCCAUAUGAGUUCUUAUCUUUGUAUCUUCUAACAAGGAAACACUACUUAGGCUUUUACGAUAAGGUAGUGGUUUAAGUUCUUAUACUCAAUCAUACACAUGACAUCAAGUCAUAGUCGACUCCAAAA